AGUGAACGCUGGCGGUAGGCCUAACACAUGCAAGUCGAACGGCAGCACAGUAAGAGCUUGCUCUUACGGGUGGCGAGUGGCGGACGGGUGAGGAAUACAUCGGAAUCUACUUUUUCGUGGGGGAUAACGUAGGGAAACUUACGCUAAUACCGCAUACGACCUACGGGUGAAAGCAGGGGAUCUUCGGACCUUGCGCGAUUGAAUGAGCCGAUGUCGGAUUAGCUAGUUGGCGGGGUAAAGGCCCACCAAGGCGACGAUCCGUAGCUGGUCUGAGAGGAUGAUCAGCCACACUGGAACUGAGACACGGUCCAGACUCCUACGGGAGGCAGCAGUGGGGAAUAUUGGACAAGGGGCGCAAGCCUGAUACAGCCAUACCGCGUGGGUGAAGAAGGCCUUCGGGUUGUAAAGCCCUUUUGUUGGGAAAGAAAAGCAGCAGGUUAAUACCCCGCUGUUCUGACGGUACCCAAAGAAUAAGCACCGGCUAACUUCGUG
rnacentral:rRNA from 1 species